AAAAAAAAAAAAUAUCGGCCAGUGGUGGGGGCAGGAACUAAAGGGGUGGACUGUGAUGCAAAAGGGGGCGGAGCCAGCAGGCUGUGAUGCAAAAGGGACGGGGUCACAUCACCAGAAGCCGAAGAAAAUGCAAGUUUCACCGAAGGGCAAGGGCUUUUGUAAAGGGUAUUACAAAUUACCGGCAGCUACAUUGCUGGUAAAUUUGUAAUACCGGCCCCGGCCUUGGCAGGUGUUUUACCGGCUAGGCUGGUAAAAUACCGGCUGGGUGGCAACCCAAGGGAAGACCCUCCCUCCAUCAGGAGGGUCUUCCCCCCCCCCCAAAACAUUGCUACUGUUGGUGGCAACACAAAUCGUUUGUUGUUGCUAAGGGACCCAGCUGGGUCAACGGAGGACCAGCACCAACAGUGCAGUGAAAGUGAACAGGUGUGUGGUGGAUUCAUUACAUUUAAACACCUGUGAACCAAAUCCAAGAUGGCCGUGCAUUCCACAGUGGCAUAUAUGAGUGAGGGAAAAAUAAUGAUACACAGUAGCAGAGUGAUACCCCAAAUCAGUGGGCCCUUGACAGAUACACUUUACCAAAGCAGCACUGCAGCCCAUAAAUGUUUCCCCUACUGAUUUAAUGUCCUCUAGAAAUCUCCCUGCAGCCCAGAACAGUGUUACUGCAACAUGUAUCCACACAGAUCUCCAUUUCCUGUGUCUGCAGACUCUUGGAAGCUCCUCCCCACACUCACUCUGUGGCUGUAGGAAGCAGCUCCUAAUCACUGCAGGAAGCUUGUCUCACAGUGACAGCAAAUGAUAUUCUGAAUAGAUGGGUCAGGAAGUGCUUUCCCAUUGGCUGCAGGAAGCUUGUCUACCAUUGGCUUAAACGACAGCAAAUGAUAUUCUGAAUAGAUGGGUCAAGAAGUACUUUCCCAUUGGCUAAAGUGGCAACAAAUGAUGUUUUGUUAUGACGAUGCAAGAAACCCCUCUCCCAUUGGAUGCAGGACACAAAAUAUCCCUUAAUAAUGCUCUGUGUGUGUGAGACAGAGAUGGUCUGGAGCCUGGUGCCUAAUACUGAGUGUAUAGGAAUGGGGGUGCCUGUGGGGUCUCACAGUGGGUGAUGGGACCCUGAACCUCUGCCAAGCCCACCUUUAUACUUUACAUACCCCCCUUCCCAUGUGAUACUCUUCCUGUGGAGCUGUAAGGGCAUCAGGAAUUCUUCUGUGAAUGAACACUGGCAAUUCACCUCAGAUAUGGCAGCAAUAAGCCAAUUUCAACUCAUAUGUCAAAAGACAAUUGCUGCAAAGCGUCAAUGUUUCCUUUAGUUGGUCUAUAAUGAUUCAUUGAUUUAAACAGGGGAAUCCAAUGGUGUCUAAAUGUCCGUUACCCCUCAGCAAGUCAGGGGUACAAGAAAGAUGGGAGGCUUCUGCCGAGGAGGGAGAGCUCAUCAAUGGAGACCUUCUAUGAAAAAAAAACAAAUACAGAGUUAUAUAAUAACUGCUGUGGGCCCAUCAAUGGCAACUGCACCUUAGACGAUAAUACUGUGUCCAAUGGAGAGAGGCAGAUGGAGUCACAUGACACUGACGCACGGCAAAGUGACUGUUAAUAAAGGCUUUCUCACUUUCAUUUCUGGGAUCAGAGUAAAAGUUCUGAGCGAUCCGUAGCGAUUUCGUAGUGGUUUCUACGUGAUUUCCUGCGAUUACCAUCGAUUUUCCUGCGAGAUAUUCAGCAUUUUUGACGUUUCCUAGGAAAAAACAUCUUCCAUUCACGUCUGCUGAUUUUUUUUAAAACCCAACUGCUCUUUUAAGAGCAAAAAGACUUGGACACAAUGCCAUUCGGCGCCUCAUGGAGGAAGGUAAGGUGGCCGUUACAUUUUUAUUUGGCUAAGAAAUGUUUUUUUAGUCCCAAAGUUUAAGAGGUCCUAAAAUGGUUUUGCUAUAGGGCCCAGUAAUUUUUAAUUACGCUGCAGUCCCUGUUACUUUACUAAUUAGUAGAUUUGGGAUAAGGGCAUCUUUCACACAGGGUAGUACCAUUUUGUUAUUCAGCAAGUCUUGUGCCUUAUACUGUCUUUAAUAGAAUCUUUCUCUUUUCCCUCAGCGACAGUCGCAAUCCAGCUCCCUCUCUGAGAUUUACAAGGUGAGUAGAAAAGAGGGGAAAAUAAUGUGACCACUCACUGUAAACGCUGCUAUAGCAUGGAAACUGGGAGUUGGUUUGGUGGUGGACAUAUUUUACCCUUUUGAAAUAUUAUGUUAUAAAUAAAAUUCCCCUUUUAUUCUAUUUUAUUGUCCAGCUUCCUGAUGGUCGGCUGACCAAGGAUGUGCUCCUCGGAGAGGGCGGCACAGGAGAUGUCUACAAGGUAAGGGACCAACCAAAUUAGGGUUGAAUAGAAAGAACUUACUCAGUGGUUCACAAAAAGGCUUAAAUGCCUUGUUGUAGCUAAAACCAAGUGUAAGUUUAACUUUUUUGUCUGUAUUACAGGGACGACACCAUCGGAAAGGUGUGGUGGCUGUGAAGAUCGCCAACAUCAGUCGGGUAACGUAUCUUUAUACUUCCAUUUUUUAUAUCAUUCCUAUUUGUGAGGUUGCCUAUGUGAGCUAAAGGGAUUUCUAUUAUCCCACUCCAGGAUGAAGACUCAGUCUGCAGGGAGCUGAAGUUUCUCCAGCAGUUCGGCGGCCACAAAAACAUUGCCUCUUUCUUUGGAGCCUACUACAGGGCUCCACUCACGGAGUGCUCAUCGGAGCACUUGGAAGUGAGAAAUUAUUUACUGUAUCACAUUCAUCACUUAUGUGCCAAACAGACACUGCAAGAUAUGAUAUAAUACACCGUCUUAAAUAAUUUCUUUCUAUUGCAGAUUGUUCUUGAAUACUGUGGUGGCGGUUCUCUCCACAACCUCAUCAGCAAGACCAAUGGCCAAUCCCUGAAGGAGACCUGCAUUGGCUAUGUCUGCUAUGAGGUUUUAAAGUUAAGGUCAGAUUUACCCCUUAAGGACCUUUCUUUAAUUGCAUAGAUUAUGGGGCAAAUUUACUUAUGGUCGAAUAUCAAGGGUUAAUUAACCCUCAGCUGCAUCGCGCUUGUGACUUGUAAGCAUACAGCACAGCAGAGGAACAAAAAGUGGCUCUGCAAAUGGCCCUGGAGGGCUUUCCCUGUAACUGAUCUUGUGGCCAGUAACAUCCACAGCCCAGAAUGAAUCUCCUGUGUAAAAUCCUAGGUGAAAGAAACAUCCACAGAGAAAGGUGAAGCAGCUCAACCAGUGGUGACUUUGAGAUUAGUGCAGCUCCACCAGCAGUGUCUGCUCCUCCCGCUGAAGCUCCAGGAUGAUAAUUUACCAAUGUAACCAGUGGCAUCUAUCUUGAGAUCAUGCAACACCACCAGCAGUCUCACAUUCAAGGUUCAUAUCUCCACCAGUGAUACCUUACAUUUCAACUAUUGUACCAUUAUUCUACCCAUUGCUUCUAUAUUUCACACAACUUUGUGCAACACCACCAGCCUCUUCUUAUUCUACUGCUCCUCCUCCACCAGACUCUAUCAUGCCAACACACCUCCAGUACCUACAGUUUCCACCAGCAUUAUCCUUUGCAGCUACCCCAAUUCCAGCAGUGGUGUCUCCUGAUUUUCAAAGUCCACAUUUCCAGCAGUGGCACCUUACUGUAUAUCUACCAUAUAUUUGGCUCCACCACCAGCUACCAACUUUUUUUUUUCUACCAGCAGACCACCAUGCUGAUACACCUUCAGCAUUUGCAGUUCCACCUACCAUAGCCCAAACAGUGCCUUUAUUUAUGGCUCAUUUAAUAUCUAAUUUCAGGCUCAACAGCUACAACAGUGGUGUCUGGAAUUCAUGUGACCACAUCUCUAAAAUAUAAGUCUCUAAAAUCAUCACAUUUCAUAUAACUAUAGCUCCAAUAGCGAUAUCCUCCUUUGAAUUUCACAGACUUAGCAGUAGCAGUAGCAUUUAGCAGUAGAAGUAGCAUUUUUCAGAGACAUUAGACAUUAGUUUUUUUAAUUAAUAUACCUCCACCCAUGGCCUCUUCUUUUCAUUCACCUUUAGCUCCACUAUCAGCCUCUUCCCCUUAUUCUACUGAACCUAUACCAGCAGGCUCAAUCAUCAUACCAACACACUUCCACCAUCACCUUCUUAUUUUCAAGGCAACACCAGCAAUAGUGAUUACUGUCAACUGCCACAUCUAUAAUUGCUGGGCCCCCUUUUGCAAAUUUGUUAAUAGCUUCAAAAAUUCAUCUAACCACCAGUAGCUGUUGCCUUCACAUACCCCCAAGAAACCUUCUCCUUGAAUCUAAAUUCUUCAUUAUUAUUGCUCCCUUAGUUCAGAUUUUUGAAAUCUUUAAAAUACCAUUGCUCUUAAUUUCACAUUUCUUGCCUUCAAACAUCCACCUCUCCUACAGCAGAGUAAAAAUGAUGCCCAUAUAUUAACAUGCAUUUUUAGGAAGGGAAAAACACAGGUAUACUGACAUGAAAUCUUAGUACAAGUUGAUCCAUGGACUUGUCCGAUUGCCCUUUGGGAGUCAGGAAGGAAUUUUUCCCCCUCUGAGGCAAAUUAGCUCUGGCUUCAGAUGGGGGUUUUCGCCUUUCUCUGGAUCAACUACUAAAUAGGUCCCAUUUACACUACAAUUUCAACUUAAUGGACGUGAGUUCUUUCCAUUUUAAAUUAAUAUGAAUAAAUCUAUCUACAGUAUAUGAAUACAUUA